rnacentral:lncRNA from 1 species
GAGCUUUAAAACCAUUUGUGACUGACACAUUAUUGCUUUCCAGGAAGUGGUAGGGAUGACAAAAAAGCAUAUUCCAACAGGGCUUUGGAGAGGAUAAAGUCCAAGAAGUACUGAAACCAAGAGUCACUUAAAUUUUUAAGAAUCUUCAUUUUAAAGAUAAGUAGUAGUCCACAUAGGAAUGCAUGGUAUUCAAUGAUGAUUUCCUACAUUUAUUCAAGGGAUAGGAACAUGCUAUUGUGAUCAGAAAGAAAAAUCAAACAAAAAGAAGAGGCCAAAGGAAAGGAUAUGGUCAGAAAAAAAAAUCAAACAAAAAGAAGAAGGUGAUAAAGGAAAACAGACGAUAGUGGUUCCUAUCAAGAUCUUAGAGAAAGAGAACAUUAAGGUGAUUGCAGAUGAGAGUGUAGGUGUAAGGACAGGAAACUGAGGUUAUAUACACAUGAUGUCUUCACAACUUCUCACAGAUAAAUUUCUUAUUAAUGUACUAGGUUUUAGAGUGAGAGUUCUGAAGACUUUGAUAAAAAUCUACCUUCUUAGAAGACUGGAAGUGUUGACCAGGACCACGUAAAGAUAUUGACAGAUGACAGUGAAGACACAGAUAGAAAAGAAACUUGUUCUGUGAUGCCAAUCCAUACAAAAAUAUACUUUUUUCUCAACUGGUUUUCUAUAUGAGAGAGAGAGAAAGUUAAAUUUUAGGAUCUCUUGAAGAUCAGAAAUUUUGAGAAAGAGAGAAUCAAUGAAAUUCAGAAUUUGGUGGAGUUGGUAAAAGAUUCAGAUGAUUAAAUGUUAGACAAGGCUAUCUAACAGUAAAUUAUUGUCCCAGUGAGAAAAAAGGGUGAUACCAAUCAGAAUGUGGUCAAGUAAAGUACCAGAAUUAUUGAUAUAAAAAAAAUUAAUGUGAGUGAUGAAGUGGAAUAUUAGUGAUUGUAGUCAAAGAACAAAGUUCAGAUUUUAGAGAUGGAGAAGCCAAUAGCCACUAUGGGGAAAGGGUUGGAAAAGAUUAGAAGUGGAGGCCAUUGGUUGAGACGCCUAUGGAACAGAUGAGGCUAGGCAGCUGUAUGUGUUAUCAUCAGGGAUGGAAAAAUCUCAGGAUAAUGACAGGAGUGGGGCGGAAAGAAAUCCUAUCAACCUGGAACCUAAGCAAUUUGAUGACUGAGAGGGGAUGACAUAGGUAUUAGGAUAUAACCGGGGAGCAGAUGUCAAAGUAGAUUGGUUAAAGUUGACUCCAAGGAAAUAAAAGCUAUUUAACAGGAGGGUAGAUAAAUAGGGCAUCAGUUUCCUAGAGUGGUGUUUCAGCUAUUAUUGUGUUGCUUAUUCUCUAGGGAGACAAAUUGGAGUGAUAUCCAACUAAUCAGAAGCUGGAUGUAGCUGAAGGACUUCUUGUUCUAAUUUAUCUGGCUGUGUCUUCACUGAGCGGAAGAAGAAGAUAUGGUGGUUGAAGUUACAAGGACUCCUUGUUGUAACCAGGAGCCGAUCUUGAUCAAUGGAGCUACAUAAAGCAUGUUGAAAUGCAAAGAAAGAUAGAAGGAGCCUGUGGUACUGAAAACAUUGAGGAUUCUCUGAACCAGCCUUGGCUACCCCACCAUUUAACUUGAGAAAAAAUAUUUCUUUCCUCUUUAAGCUCUUCUUCUACCAAAUGUAUCAGGAAAUAAA